CAUUGGCACUAUGGCGCAUGUAUGUUGAGUUCUUGAAGCAUUGCCGAUAUCGAUAUAUAUUUCUUUGCAUGGGACAGUAGCCUUUUCUGCGGCGGAUCGUUUCCUUUUCUCCAAUCAUAAAUAACCUGAUCUCUUUCUUUGUCUUUCAUCAAAUAAGUACAAGAAUUGCAUAGAUGAGGAUUCGGUAUUGAUCGCUAAAAUGCGAGAA
rnacentral:pre_miRNA from 1 species